CUGCAAGUAGUUAAGCUCAUUCACCUAGCUUUCCUCCCUGAUGAAGUCUCACUUUGCAGCAGCUGCAAAAAGCCAAUUCCCCAGCUGUGUAUGCAGCUCAUUUCUUGUUUGUGUUGCUCUAAGGGACCUUGAAGACAUCA